rnacentral:rRNA from 1 species
GACGAACGCUGGCGGCGUGCCUAAUACAUGCAAGUCGAACGCAGUGGGGACGGGUGAGUAACCCGUGGGUAACCUCCCAUCAGAGGGGAUAACACUUGGAAACAGGUGCUAAAACGAUACUGAUGGAUGGACCCGCGGUGCAUUAGCUAGUAGGUGAGGUAACGGCUCACCAAGGCCACGAUGCAUAGCCGACCUGAGAGGGGGAGUGGCCACACUGGGACGGAGAGACGGCCCAGGCUGCUACGGGCGGCACCAGUAGGGAAUCUGCGGCAAUGGGCGAAAAUCUGACCGAGAAGCGCCGCGUGAGUGAAGAAGGUUUUCGGAGCGUAAAACUCUGUUGUUAGGGAAGCGGUAUCUACCCAGAAAGCCACGGCUAACUACGUGCCAGCCGCCGCGGUAAUUC